UAGUUGGCUACUUACUAUGUACCGUGCAUAAUGUGAAAAAUUUUAUUGAGACUUAUGUAAUUAGAUUUUUAUUACAACUAGAAAUUUUUAUUUUUGCAUUUUACUGAUGAGGUUAAUAAUAACCUCCCUGAUAUCUCAGAAAUAGCAACUAAAGCCCACAUACUCUGACUCUGGACUCUAUCUGCUUCACCUACUCCUUCGAUGGUGCUGGAAACAUGAAAUUUCAGAGACUAGUGGUACUUUGAUCUUCCUAUUUGCUACGGUUGAAAAACUGGCCUAAAUAGAUUAGGUACUGAUUNGUGUGUGUGUGUGUGUGUGUGUGUGUGUGUGAAUUAGCCAUAAAAAAAAAUCUUAAAAUACAUGAAUACCUAUUAAAUUGAGGGUUCCUAAGACUGGAAAUUUGUUUUGGCUUAACUGUACUGCCAAUUGGUCAUGAAGGAAAUUAUUUAUAUUACAAGACAGGGAAGCAACGAGUUUGAUAAUUAUGUGAGUGGAUCCUGCAGUCAGAUUUCCUAGGGUCAAAUCCUUGUUCUUGCCAUUUCUUUGUCCCAGUAAACCUUAUUUUCCUCAUUUCUUCCUAAAUCAAAGGAUCAUGAGGAUUAAAUGAAAUAGUCCGUAUGAGGCAUUUAUCAUAGCAUCAGUCACUUUUAGCUUUUAUCGUGAUGAAGCAUUUCGAUUUAAUAUUAUAAAGUCAUUUCUGAUGACUUUAAAACCAGCAUUUGUCAGGAAGGAUGCUUGUGGAGCCUCUUUUACUGGGUUUAUUUAAAAGUAAAAUGUACUCCAUAGUCUCCAAUGACUGAUGUGUGUUUUUUCCUGUAUCUGAGUGUACAGAUCAGAUGAGCUUUGAAGGUCCUCUUCAACCUUGUGAGCGUGUUUUUUUUUUUGUUUUGUUUUGUUUUUCCAUGUUACCCCUUUUCUCCAUGUUUGCUAGUUUUUCUUCAAAAUAAGAUUGUGUAAUCCAUUCCAUUUUUAAUAACUAAAAAAGAAUAUUUGUUAACUCAUGCUUUCACAGACUUCUGAUGGAUCAGUUUUAGUUUUGGCUACAAACAAACACACCAAAAUAGUUAAAUAAACAAAAGACACAUAUUCUAUUUUUAAGCAAAAUAAUGUAUUAAAAUAAUUUUGAAUAAAUUUAAGUAUUUAAAAAAUGAAGUAAUAGUAAGACAGUUGCAUAAAAAGCCUAGGUUAACAAAAGGACAGGUCAUUUAAUUAUUCUCCCCUAUCUUCCUUCAUUUGCCAACUCGUGUAUUCAUUUGCUCCUGGACACCAUGACGACAAAUUUACCAAGUGACUACUGUGUAUGAUGCUGGCUGCCUGGGAGGAUGCAGACUUCCACAGCCCAAGAUUUCUACUCAGGGGAGCUUGUAAAAACUUUGAACAUGAAAGCAGCAUAGCAAUGCAGAAAAAUCAAAUUUCAAGAGAAUAUCGCGUUGCCGUUUUAAGAUACAUUUAGCUCGGCAGACUUAGGUCACCCUCCCUUCCUCUGCUUCCUAAAUGCAUGGAACUCUUUAUGACACAGAUUUCAUCUGAUAGGAAGAAUUCUUAAAAGGCUUAAUCCUGCUUCCCUCAAACUAAAGUUGUACUUAGGCUGUUUGGACGAGUUAAUUAUGGGCAAAGACCAGAAUACUAAUUAGUAUCAAAAGUGGAAACAUAUACAUAGAAAAUAUAUGAAUGGUGAUUUGAAGCUUAUUAAGACUUUCUUAUCAGUGGCCUUGCUGAGUGAAGUUUUUGAUCAAGCUUAUCUCUAGGAAAUGUGAGAAAAUAAAAAGUCGUGAAGGCACAGGAACAUGUUUUCCUUCCUGUUUGAGCUUCACCAAUUCCACCUCUCAGAAGGUAACAUGGUCCUAAGGAGCUUCUGUUGUUGAUGAGUGCGAUUAAAAUGUUAACUUCAAAAAUCAUUAAAUGAUAAAAAUUCAUGGUAAAAUUUCAAGGGUUACCAUUUAAAAAAAAAAGAAAAAGAAAAAGAAUAAAUUGUGAAUCUGUUAGAAGGAAAAAUGGAAUAAGAAGAAAACAAGGAAAAACCCAGUUAACCCCAAAAAAGUAAAAAGAUCAGAGAAUUUAUUUUAUCUGUAUAGAAUGAAUUGGAGACUAUGAAGGAAAAGAAAUGUGAAGUGAUAAGCAGAUGUAUUCAUUUAGUAAGUUAUCACUUGAUAAUUAUGUUUUUAAACUAGAGUAGAAAUUUGGAUACAAACACUUCUGCUGCUGGACAAAAUACAUCUUGUUCUUUGGAAUUAUUUCACAUAAUUUGUUUACAAAUAACACACAGAUAAAGAUUUGACAGAUUAUAUUCAGCUUACUGUUAAUUACACAGAGAUAAACUCAUGAGCUAUUUCCCAUGAUUGGUGCCAGGUAUUUUAACCACUCUUUCUGCAAUACAGAUAACGAGUGCUGCGUUCAUCCUGAUACUUUGACAUUGAAAGGAAGAAUUUUAAGAAUUGCUUAAGGAUUAAAGUGAGAUUGAUCUUCUUAAGUCGAGGACUUCAUUCACAAUGACAUUUUCAUUUGUGCAUAACUUCAACAGAAAACAUACUAAGAUGUGGAUGGCAUAAAAUAAACCAAUUUAUUUAUUACCCAUAUAUACUGAAAGAUGUGUAACUUCAACAUCUCAAGAAUUGGGAGUUUGCAAAAUUAAAUUGUGAACCUUGAAACCAGUCAAAUAUAGUUAUUCUUAAUUAAUAGUUAAAGCAUAUUUACAACUUUGAAUACAAACAGCAAAUCUAUGAUAGCUGAAUAAUAGUUAAAGUUUUUAAAAAGUAGAAAAUUUCAGAUAAUAACCAUUGCAUAGUAAAAUUAAUUUAUUAGUCUGGGUUCAAUCAAAGAAGCAGAUCCAAUAAGAGUUAGUCUGUCUAUCAUUAUAUCUAUCUAUCUAUCUAUCUAUCUAUCAUCCAUCAUCUACCUAUCCAUAUUAAGGGUUUUAACCUUAUGUAGAGUUGCCAAGGAAAUUCAUUGGGGAAAAUUUUACAAUUGCAAGUGGUUCUGUGGCAAUUGGAUGUCUAUU
rnacentral:lncRNA from 1 species